rnacentral:rRNA from 1 species
GAUCAUGGCUCAGGAUGAACGCUAGCUACAGGCUUAACACAUGCAAGUCGCGGGGCAGCAGGUACAGAAGCUUGCUUCAGUACGCUGGCGACCGGCGCACGGGUGAGUAACGCGUAUCCAACCUUCCCAUCGCUAGGGAAUAACCUUGCGAAAGUAAGACUAAUGCCCUAUAACAUUCUUUGCAGACAUCUAAAGAGAAUUAAAGAUUUAUCGGCUAUGGAUGGGGAUGCG